GCCUAGAUCGCCAGGUCGCGGCUAGGUCCGGAUCUCCAUGGUAAGGAGAAGGUCAACGGUUCGAUUCCGUUUGGGGGCU
rnacentral:tRNA from 1 species